CCUGUAGUCUUCCCCGCCUCACUGGAAGCUCUACGCCCUCUGGAGCCCCGCCCCUCCCCCAUCAUGUGUCUUGGCUUGAGCCAACAUCCUAACUCAGAACAACAGAAGGUGUGUGGGAGCACUGUGUAUUCCUUGUAUAUGUGUGUACCUGGACUGUGGAUUUCCCAUGUGGACCAGCAUUCAGGAGUGUGCUGAGGCCAUAGCACAUGUGACAAGAGGACCCAUCGAACAGGGUCAUCCAGAUAGCAGAACUGCUGUCCCUGGAAUCAGAAGUAGGGGACUGGAUUCCCCUGCUCUCUGAGCCCCAGAGCUGCUGUCUGCAGAUACAGCAGAAUGCUCCUUCACCCCCAGGUUCCUGCAGAGCACAGUCAGGCUUCCUGGAAACCAGUAUUCUACUAACAGCCUUCAGAUGGUGAAGAACUCUCAGCUCCUCCUGCACCGUGCCUGCCUGGAUGCUGCCAUGCUCCUGCCUCAGUGAUAUGGACUGAACCUCUGAACCUUGUUGUUGAGCUCAACUUGUGAUGAUGCCACCACGGAGAGAAACUCACCCAAGAACUCCUCAUGAGAUUCCUGCGGCCACUUUUAGCUUCUGCUGCCUCACCUCAGGCCAGUUAGUGAGCCUGGCAGUUUCUUCAGGAUUGAACUACAGCUGCCUGGUGUCCGACUGCUGAGACGACUGGUCUGCAGCUGCCGACUCAUAUUUGGUGUUUGC
rnacentral:lncRNA from 1 species